rnacentral:rRNA from 1 species
CAGAGGGUGCAAACGUUGCUCGGAAUUAUUGGGCGUAAAGCGCGUGUAGGCGGCUUGUUAAGUCGGUUGUGAAAACCCAUGGCUCAACCAUGGAAGGGCGUCCGAAACUGGCAAGCUAGAGUCCCGACGAGGAUGGCGGAAUUCCCAGUGUAGAGGUGAAAUUCGUAGAUAUUGGGAGGAACACCGGUGGCGAAGGCGGCCAUCUGGGAGGGCACUGACGCUGAGACGCGAAAGCGUGGGGAGCAAACAGGAUUAGAUACCCUGGUAGUCCACGCUGUAAACGAUGAGCACUAGAUGUUGCGGGUAUUGACCCCUGCAGUGUCGACGCUAACGCAUUAAGUGCUCCGCCUGGGGAGUACGGCCGCAAGGCUA